GAUGAACGCUGGCGGCGUGCCUAAUACAUGCAAGUCGAGCGAACGGACGAGAAGCUUGCUUCUCGGAUGUUAGCGACGGACGGGUGAGUAACACGUGGAUAACCUACCUAUAAGACUGGGAUAACUUCGGGAAACCGGAGAUAAUACAGGAUAAUAUUUUGAACCGCAUGGUUCAAAAGUGAAAGACGGUCUUGCUGUCACUUAUAGGUGGAUCCGUGCUGCAUUAGCUAGUUGGUAAGGUAACGGCUUACCAAGGCAACGAUGCAUAGCCGACCUGAGAGGGCGAUCGGCCACACUGGAACUGAGACACGGUCCAGACUCCUACGGGAGGCAGCAGUGGGGAAUCUUCGGCAAUGGGGGAAAGCCUGACGGAGCAACGCCGCGUGAGGGAUGAAGGUCUUCGGAUUGUAAAACUCUUUUAUUAGGGAAGAACAUCUGUGGAAGUAUAUGUGGAGAGCUUGACGGUACCGAAAGAGAAAGCCACGGCUAACUACGUG
rnacentral:rRNA from 1 species